rnacentral:lncRNA from 1 species
GGGGCAUAGGCUAAACACCGACUCAGGGUGUUCAGGACUCCUUUUCGGGCAGCUGAUAUUUUAAGUUCCUCUAUUUACAGCACGCUCCCGGUAUAUAGUUGCUCGGUGAAAGUAUAUAUAGCAUUUAGCUUCAGCAUGUCGUCGUCUAGAAGAUUGGCGGCUCGUGAACCUACAAAUGACACAUCAGUAUUUGAUAGUUUUUUGGGAGACCAGAUUAUUUCUUCAAUAGGCAAUGGUUAAUGCUUCAUAGCGACAGUCAUGUCGGAAAUGUGCUUUUUUAAGCCGGAAAGCUCUUGCUGGGCGGCUUCCAAUUUUUCCUCAGCUUGCUCAUCACGCUUAAGGAUGGCGGCUAGGUCAGCUUUGGCUUUCUUCUCCAGUUUUUGAUGGUCAGCCUUCAUCCUCUCCAGCUCAGCCAGAAUCAAGCGGUAUUUCCUCCCCGACUUAGAUUGUGCAUCUUGUUGUUCAGCCAGAUUCUUCCUUAAGUCGGCUAAAGCCGACUCAGUCUGGGUCAUAGACUCCU